rnacentral:tRNA from 1 species
CCCCUGGUAGCUUAGCGGUAGAGCAUCGGGCUGUAGACCCGGGGAUCGCUGGUUCGAAUCCGGCCCAGGGGACCA